rnacentral:rRNA from 1 species
AGAGUUUGAUCAUGGCUCAGAACGAACGCUGGCGGCAGGCUUAACACAUGCAAGUCGAACGCUCACCUUCGGGUGGGAGUGGCAGACGGGUGAGUAACGCGUGGGAACGUACCCUUCAGUUCGGAAUAACCCAGGGAAACUUGGGCUAAUACCGGAUACUCCGUAAGGAGAAAGAUUUAUCGCUGAAGGAUCGGCCCGCGUCGGAUUAGCUAGUUGGUGGGGUAACGGCCCACCGGCGACGAUCCGUAGCUGGUCUGAGAGGAUGAUCAGCCACACUGGGACUGAGACACGGCCCAGACUCCUACGGAGGCAGCAGUGGGGAAUAUUGGUCAAUGGGCGCAAGCCUGAACCAGCCAUGCCGCGUGAGUGAAGAAGGCCUUAGGGUUGUAAAGCUCUUUCAGCGGGGACGAUAAUGACGGUACCCGCAGAAGAAGCCCCGGCUAACUUCGUGCCAGCAGCCGCGGUAAUACGAAGGGGGCUAGCGUUGUUCGGAAUUACUGGGCGUAAAGCGCGCGUAGGCGGAUAUUUAAGUCAGGGGUGAAAUCCCAGGGCUCAACCCUGGAACUGCCUUUGAUACUGGAUGUCUGGGAGUUCGGGAGAGGUGAGUGGAAUUCCGAGUGUAGAGGUGAAAUUCGUAGAUAUUCGGAGGAACACCAGAAGCGAAGGCGGCUCACUGGCCCGAUACUGACGCUGAGGCGCGAAAGCGUGGGGAGCAAACAGGAUUAGAUACCCUAGUAGUCC